UUUCUCUUGCCACUAUGAGGUUUCUGUUGCAACUUCCCUUGUAGCUAUGAGAUUAAACAAACUCUUGGUGAUUAAAUCAUGGAUAAUGGCCAUUGCUUCUUCGGUGUUACCGGGUGAUUUGUUGAUUUGUUCUACUUUCAUUGGCUCUGAUAGAUACAUCCAGAAUUUCUCCGGUUAUGAAGAGGUCACAAAAUCACUUAUUGAACCAUCCGUCCGAAUACUCUGAGCUGCAGCAGUAACGGGUUCUAACAAAACGCAUCAGCUAUAUUGCGUAAGAGGAAGCCUUGAUUCGGAAGCUGGUUGAUGAGCGGAGUUUCUAUUUGGCAUUGGUAUUGCUAUUCUGUUUUAUCCGAGAAACAAAAUCUGUUGGAGGAAUGAGGACACUGCAUUUACUUCUCUUGACUUCGUAGCCGACCACCGAAGAUCCUAUGAAUAAAACCUUUUAUCAAAAGCAACGGGUGAUUCGCCGGUCACUCCGGGAGGUUUACAACUAUGUCUGCGGGUGACGAUGACUAGCUGCAUAAGUCUUGGUUCGAAUGCAGCCCGUGUUGCUGGGAAUUUCAGGUGACUUGAAGGUU